rnacentral:lncRNA from 1 species
UUGCAUUUUGCAGGAUUCAGCAACCCUCUCUCGGUCAAAGGGAGUGCCUCCCCUUCCCCAAUAAGUGAAACUUUAUUCCCUUAGAGAAAAGUGGCUUGGCCAUUCUACCAACUACCUGUAGCUGAUGUGACAAUGGUUCAAGGCAAGGCAGCCAAGGUAAGGAUAAAAGACCUUUGCCUGGUAGUAGGCCUGCAAAUGAUAGUGUUAGCUUCUUUCCUUCCUCCCUUCCUCCCUCCCUUCCUUCCUUCCUUACUUACUUCCUUCCUUCCUUCCUGUAAGAACAAAAAAUGUGGUGGAGAAGAACUGGGGCAAGGGUCUGAAAAGAGUUUGCUAAAUGACAAAGGGGAGCAGGCGAGGCGUGUAUUGGAAUGGAACAAAUGGAAGCCCGAAUGAAGCAAAGGCCAAGGCCAACAGCAAAGGCGAGGCGAAAGGAGUGGUUGUGUUGUGGCAAAAGGGACGACAGGCAGAGCCAAAGAGAGCAUUGGUGUGGUCGGGACGCUGCCCUCCCUGGUGGACCUUUUGCCCAGAGUA